rnacentral:lncRNA from 1 species
UGUUACAUGGUAGGGUAUUUAUUCAGUACAUUUUUUCUUUUUCAAGUAAAGUAUAAGGGAGUUGUACUCCAGGCUAGUAGGUGGCGGUUAAGCAACAAAUUGGAUGCCAACCGCCGUUAAACCUCAGAAGAAGAAGAUUGUCGGACCAUCAACGGAAAAGGAAGAACGUCAUUAUACGGAAGAGGAAGGAAAGUGUGUUUGAAACUAAAAUCGCUAGUAACAACCAGCAUCAAACGUAACAUUGCUUGUCAAAUGGAUAUCAUUUCUCGUUAUGGUUUGUAGUUAUGCUGGCUUUGCUUCUGCUGUCUUUCUACAACAUCCGAAGGUGGGUUGUUCACACCAUCGCUUAGCUAGCUUCAGAAAGCUCAGCUACCUAGCUAGCUAAGUUAGCUAGUAAACACAAUGUAAGCUGGCUAGCAAAGAUACAUCCUGAAGUGAUAUAACGUUGUUAGCAAUACGAUGUGAAGUUAUAUGGUGUUAUUCUCAACUUGCUAUCAUCUUAGAUCAUCCAGAUGCAGGUUUACGUAGCUAACGUUAACCAGUUAACUGGGUCAGCAUGUCAUUACGUUAACUAGUUAACUGGGUCAGCAUGUCAUUACGUUAACAAGUAAUGUUGACAUUAUGGUCAACUGUGGCUCCCGAGUGGUGUAGCGGUCCGGGUUUGGCCCGUGUAGGCCGUUCAUUGUAAAUAAGAAUUAGUUCUUAACUGACUUGUCUAGUUAAACAAAGGUCACAAAAAAUGACAAUUUCCAGUGACACAGUAGCCAGCUAGCUCUGCAGACCCUGUUCUACUUCAGUAGCCAGCUAGCUCUGCAGACCCUGUUCUACUUCAGUAGUCAGCUAGCUCUGCAGACCCUGUUCUACUUCAGUAGCCAGCUAGCUCUGCAGACCCUGUUCUACUUCAGUAGCCAGCUAGCUCUGCACACCCUGUUCUACUUCAGUAGCCAGCUAGCUCUGCAGACCCUGUUCUACUUCAGUAGCCAGCUGGCUCUGCACACCCUGUUCUACUUCAGUAGCCAGCUAGCUCUGCAGACCCUGUUCUACUUAAGUAGCCAGCUAGCUCUGCAGACCCUGUUCUACUUCAGUAGCCAGCUAGCUCUGCAGACCCUGUUCUACUUCAGUAGCCAGCUAGCUCUGCAGACCCUGUCCUACUUCAGUAGCCAGCUAGCUCUGCAGACCCUGUUCUACUUCAGUAGCCAGCUAGCUCUGCAGACCCUGUUCUACUUCAGUAGCCAGCUAGCUCUGCCGACCCUGUUCUACUUCAGUAGCGAGUAUCAAGUGUAUGAGUGUGUCCUCAUUGCACGUCUGUUAUUUUAUGUCGCACCUCAAAUGAUGAGCUGGUGGACUGAGACCAGAUGGGGGGGUGUAAUAGGUGGUGACAUGACAGUGUGUUAUCAGAGGACUGAGACCAGAUGGGGGGUGUAAUAGGUGGUGCCAUGAAAGGGUGUUAUCAGAGGACUGAGACCAGAUGGGGGGUGAAAUAGGUGGUGACAUGACAGUGUGUUAUCAGAGGACUGAGACCAGAUGGGGGGUGUAAUAGGUGGUGACAUGACAGUGUGUUAUCAGAGGACUGAGACCAGAUGGGGGGUGUAAUAGGUGGUGACAUGACAGUGUGUUAUCAGAGGACUGAGACCAGAUGGGGGGGUGUAAUAGGUGGUGACAUGAGGGUGGGUAUAAUUUGUGUAACGUUACAACAAAAAAAAAAAACUUCGUAAAUAUCAAGGUUGCCAACAAACAACACAAACAAAGUCGUAUAACGGUAGAAUGAGAUACCGGGUAGAGAGUGAACAAUGUAAUAACGUUUUUCAACCACCACGUUUAUUCUGAAAAAUGUCUCUCUUCGUUCUGGUAGCCUCCACCAUUCCUCGUUCGUUGGUUUAGUUAUUAUUUCCGGGGUUCCUGCAUUCGUAAGGUGAACUCUGUUGCGCCUCAAUUAGGGAAUCGCUAUGGUUGAAAUGUAACUAAUCACUGCCAGCCCCAGUAUUUUAUUAGCUAGGUGGCUUGGACACAAUUGUUACCGAUGAUACUGUAUACACCAGCCUACUAUUAUUACAUAAACAUACAUUGUAUUUUACCAAGUUCUCUCUGUGUUAAUCCUGUUUCCCAAAUAUAUCAGCUAACUUGUGUCGAUGUUGUUUAGUUCAACUUGCCUAGUUAAAUAAAGAUUAAAUAAAUUAGAACAUAUAAAAUAUAUGCUUUGACCUAUUCCAGGUAACCUAAAGAUGCUUGAUUCACUACAGCUGCUUUUGAAGAACUUUCCAGUCGUAUUUGCUUUACAUUCCGACUUUACAUUCCGACUUUUGAACGUGUGUUUAUUGGACAUAUAUAUUAGUGUCUAAUAAAACAGAGCAUCCCAUCUGUUUUAAGGUUAUAGUUUGUGUGAUGUAGUUCCUCUUGAUGUCCACUAGGUGUCAGCACAGUUUCAAUAAUGUCACACCAGGUUACUACAUGUUUUCAUGUUGUGAAUGCUACAUGUGUAGACCUUACAGUGAAAUGUUGACUUACAAGCCCUUAACCAACAAUUUAGUUUUAAGAAAAAUAUGUGUUAAGUAAAAAAUAAGAAAUAAAAGUAACAAAUAAUUAAAGAGCAGCAGUAAAAUCAAAAUAGCGAGGCUCGAUACAUGGGGUACCGGUUAGUCGAGGUAAUUGAGGUGUUCCUUUCAAGUCCAGUGGUGUAAAUUACUUAACAAAAAUGUAUUUAAACUACUCCACUACAUUCCGUUUAUAUAUCUGGUUAUUUUGUAUCUGUACUUUUACUCUCCCUACUGCCUCUGAUCUGGAGGACUCACUAAACAGAGAACAUCCCUGGUCAUCCCUACUGCCUCUGAUCUGGAGGACUCACUAAACAGAGAACAUCCCUGGUCAUCCCUACUGCCUCUGAUCUGGAGGACUCACUAAACAGAGAACAUCCCUGGUCAUCCCUACUGCCUCUGAUCUGGAGGACUCACUAAACAGAGAACAUCCCUGGUCAUCCCUACUGCCUCUGAUCUGGAGGACUCACUAAACAGAGAACAUCCCUGGUCAUCCCUACUGCCUCUGAUCUGGAGGACUCACUAAACACAUGCUUCAUUUGUAAAUGAUGUCUGAUUGUUGGAGUGUUCCCCUGGUUAUUUCUUAAAUAAAAUAACAAGAGAAUCGUUCUGUCUGGUUUGCUUAAUGUAUGGAAGGUCAAAUCAUUUAUACUUUUACCACUGAUACUUAAGUAUAUUUUAGCAAUGACGUUUACUUAGUAUUUUACUGGGUGACUUUCACUUUUACUUGAGUCAUUUUCUAUUAACAUCAUCUUAUUAUUGUACCUUUUUCCCUUCAUUUGCCUCCUACUGUCUAUAAGCUGUCAUAACAUGUGGGUUUUUUCAUGGGGACCAGGUAUCGGAAAGCCUUUGAAGGAUCUACAAAGCCCCCAGGUAAAAGUUGGCUUUUGCAGACAAGGAUUGUAUUGUUUCUCCACGACAUAAUAUGUUAUCACAACUCUAUUAAAAUUACAUUCUACACAAGGUGUCACUUCAUUCCUUCUAUUUGAUGGGAACUCCUGGUUAGGAAUGGGGAACGAGUGCUAUCUCUCUG